rnacentral:rRNA from 1 species
AUGGCCGCGCUCCGCCUCCCCGCCCCGCCGACGGCGAGGUGGGCCCCGCCGCCGCCGUCCUCCGCGCGGUGGCAGCACCCCCCGUGCCGGGGCGGCGCCAGGCGUCCCGCGGCGUUGCGGGCCGGCGGGGAGGAGGGCCCGGGCCCGGAAGAGCCGCCGGUGAGGACGCUCCUCAUCGACAACUACGACAGCUACACCUACAACAUCUUCCAGGAGCUCUCCGUCGUCAACGGCGUGCCGCCUGUGGUGGUGCGCAACGACGAGUGGGCGUGGAGGGAUGUUUACAAUUGGGUGUACAAGAAGAGGGCCUUUGACAACAUCGUGAUCUCGCCUGGCCCUGGAUCUCCGUCGUGUCCUACCGACAUAGGUGUAUGUCUGCGGAUACUUUGCGAGUGCGGAGAUAUACCCAUUCUAGGUGUCUGCCUUGGCCACCAGGCCUUGGGAUUAGUUCAUGGCGCUAAGAUUGUUCACGCUCCUGAAGCUAUACAUGGGCGACUUAGUGAAAUUGAGCAUAAUGGAUGCUACCUCUUUAAUCACAUCCCAUCAGGUAUAAACUCUGGAUUCAAGGUAGUGCGCUACCAUUCACUUGUAAUAGAAGCAAGCUCACUGCCUGAGGAUCUUGUAUCAAUAGCAUGGACGGCUUCUCCCAAAAUGCUAUCUUUCCUUGAUAGUGAUCAGCCUGAUAAUACUCCCUUCUGGGGAUCAUUGAAUAACUUAUCCAUAACUGACCCUUCAGAGCGCAUUAACAAUGGUGAAGUGCCAAUUACCAUAAACAAUACUAGUAAGCCGGACGGCCACAAGAUUGUCAUGGGCAUCAAGCAUUCCAGCAUGCCUCAUUAUGGAGUGCAGUUCCAUCCAGAGAGUGUUGCUACACAUUAUGGAAGACAGAUUUUUCAAAACUUUAAGAGGAUAACAACUGAUUUUGGAUCACAAUCAUCGUUGUUUCAGGAAAGAAAGGUUCACAGUAUUGGUAAACUGGAAAGCCCUCAAGUCAAUUCUGCAGAUCAAUGCAAUUAUGUCCCGAAGGGCUUGUCACACACUGAAGGACUGGAGCUUGGCGAUUCUGUUGGGGUUCACAUGCUUGCAGAGAGAAAUAUCAAGAAAAAAUAUCUACGAUUGAGAUGGAAGAGGAUUGAUAACUUCCUCAGCCGCACAAAUGGCUCUGAAGACAUUUUCUCGGAGCUUUUUGGUCAUCAAAAUGCCGAAGAUACAUUUUGGCUGGAUAGCUCAUCAGUUGAUCAGAACAGGGCACGCUUUUCAUUUAUGGGUGGUAAGGGUGGACCUUUGUGGAAGCAAAUGACAUUUCACCUCUCCAAUCAAAGGGCCAACUGUGGAGGAACCAUUACUAUUCGAGGUGCUCAUGGAUCUGCUGUGAAAAACUCUCUCAAAGAUGGCUUCUUGGAAUUCCUUCACAAGGAGAUCCAGUCCAUUAAAUACAAUGAAGAGGAUUUUGAAGGGCUGCCAUUUGACUUCCAUGGUGGAUUUGUUGGAUAUCUAGGGUAUGGUCUUAAGGUUGAAUGUGAUGCAUCAUCUAACAAAGCUAAAUCAAGUACUCCUGAUGCAUGCUUUUUCUUUGCUGAUAACCUUGUGGCAAUCGAUCACAACAAUGGUGAUGUAUAUAUUCUGUCAUUAUAUGACGAAUAUUCUUUAAGUAACGGAAAUGGAAUGCACCAUAAUACAACACAUACUUCAUGGUUGCUGGAGACUGAGAAGAGGCUUCUCAGGAUGGCUGCUAUGUCACCAGGACUACCGAUUAAUGGAAAAUCACUCAUUGGAUCAUCCAAUGUGAAUAAGCAAAGUUUUGUCGUAGAAAAAUCAAAGGAUCAAUACAUUAAGGAUGUUCGAAGUUGCCUGGAUUAUAUCAGAGACGGAGAAAGCUACGAGUUAUGCCUGACCACUCGGAUGAGGAGAGGGAUAGAGUAUAUAAAUGCUCUUCAACUGUACCUUCAAUUGAGAAAGCAAAAUCCAGCUCCCUAUGCAGCCUGGCUUAACUUCUCCUCAGAAAACCUGAGUAUAUGCUGCUCUUCUCCUGAACGGUUUCUGCGGCUAGAUCAAAAUGCAGUUCUGGAGGCAAAACCAAUCAAAGGUACUAUAGCACGUGGCAGAACACCCGAGGAAGAUGAAUGCCUACGUUUGCAACUGAAAUACAGUGAAAAGGAUCAGGCUGAGAACUUGAUGAUUGUUGAUCUCUUAAGAAACGACCUGGGCAAGGUCUGUGAGCCCGGAAGCGUGCACGUUCCUCGCCUCAUGGACGUCGAGUCAUACAAGUCAGUCCACACCAUGGUGAGCACCAUCCGCGGGACAAAGAAGCCUGACCUAAGCCCCGUCGACUGCAUCAAAGCCGCCUUUCCAGGAGGCUCGAUGACGGGCGCCCCAAAGGUGAGGUCGAUGGAGAUCCUCGACGCACUCGAGAGCAGCCCGAGGGGCAUCUACUCAGGGUCGAUCGGGUUCUUCUCGUACAACCGCACGUUCGACCUGAACAUCGUGAUCAGGACGGUGGUGCUGCAUGACGGGGAGGCCUCGGUGGGGGCGGGCGGGGCGAUUGUGGCUCUGUCGGACCCUGAGGCGGAGUAUGCCGAGAUGAUGCUCAAGGCUAGGACACCGACGAGGGUUGUCGAGGAGUGCAGCCAACAGGCCGCGGCGCACAGCAGUCCGGACCGAUCGGAUUCGGUGCGGACAACUAUAAGUUAG